UAAAUGCAAAGCGUAUUUUAAAGUUGACUGGACUCUGCUACUAGCCCAACAACCCAGAAAAUUCCUGAUAGCCAAGAUGUGGGUGAAUCUGGUAUUCAGAUUGGGAAACAAAGUUCUUCCAGCAAGAAAGGCGCAGCAAAAGCCGCUGUUCAGUUUGGAUGCACUUGGAUAAGGAGCACUUCAUAAACUCUGCACACAACCAUGACAUAGCUGGGAAAAGCUGACCAGCUCAUCUGCUUCGGGGUGGCUGCUUAUGCUGCAUUACCUGAGAUUUUCCCCGAUCCAGCUUUACAUGACUCAAGUGCCGGAGGCUGCAUUAAGGAGGUGUGAAUGUCAGGAGUCUGGAUACCAGCCAAAGCUUAUGAAGGUCAAAAGAGGAUUUUUUCCACCACCUUCUACUGGACCUUCAAUCAAUUCCAGGUUCAGACUGAGACUUUCUCUUCAUAUACCCAAGAAAAUGAGAUGAUGUGCCAUGUAAUGAAUAGGACCACACAGGGGUGACUCACCUGGGGUACCUCUCUCGUGUCAAGUUCGCUGAGGACAUCUGGGAACAUUCCUGCUUGGGGUACAUGGAAAAUGGGUGUCCCAGCAGAUUUUUUACUACUGUCCAGAAGAAGUGACCAAGACAAUCUCAUGGGCAGGAAGAUGUUCAAAAUGUGGAGACAACAUGCAAAAUUAGGUCUGGAAAGGGUUCUUCUGCACUUCUGAGGAUUAUUACUGUAUCUUAUCUUUAAUAGAAACCUGAGAUUUCCUCAUAAUUACUUGUCUUUCAGAGUGAAGGAGGCAUAAAAAACUCUCCAGGCAAAGACUGGGACAAAAGCACAUACAAUCCUUGGAUUUCCCCAUUCUGGUUGUACCCAUGUGGUCCUAGGUAUUUUUCUUCAUUACAUGGAAUAUGUAAGUAAGCAAAUACUGUGAUUACUGUUUUCCCAGCUUGGAUGGCACUUGGAUUGAGGGCAUGGUCAGACUCUCAUAAAUGUGUAUUGGAGCAAUUUGAAAGCUUCUUUAAAUGGAGAGCCAUUCUCUCUUUCUCCAAGCUGAUCAUGGUGGUUAAAGGCUAUUAU